AUUAGAUGACAUACCACCACCAUCUAUACCAACAGGUGUAUAUGAACAGAAGUUUCAGAUGAUAGUAGCAGAUUGAAUGUUGGAAGCAAGCCAUGCAUCUUAAAGAUUGAGAUAGUAGAUGGAUUAAGACGAUGAUUAUGCCUCUAAGUACUACUAUGAAGAUCAAGAGGGCGCUGAACACGACGACUUGCACGCGGACAAUGAUCAGGUGGUUGAUGGAUUCUUAAAAAAUCCUUCAUCUUUAUAUACA